UACGGAGGGAGCUAGCGUUGUUCGGAAUUACUGGGCGUAAAGCGCACGUAGGCGGCUAUUCAAGUCAGAGGUGAAAGCCCGGGGCUCAACCCCGGAACUGCCUUUGAAACUAGGUAGCUAGAAUCUUGGAGAGGUCAGUGGAAUUCCGAGUGUAGAGGUGAAAUUCGUAGAUAUUGGGAAGAACACCGGUGGCGAAGGCGGCUAUCUGGACCGUAACUGACGCUGAGGCGCGAAAGCGUGGGGAGCAAACAGG
rnacentral:rRNA from 1 species